AUUAGUUAGUUGGUGGGGUAAAGGCCUACCAAGACAAUGAUGCAUAGCCGAGUUGAGAGACUGAUCGGCCACAUUGGGACUGAGACACGGCCCAAACUCCUACGGGAGGCUGCAGUAGGGAAUCUUCCACAAUGGGCGAAAGCCUGAUGGAGCAACGCCGCGUGUGUGAUGAAGGCUUUCGGGUCGUAAAGCACUGUUGUAUGGGAAGAACAGCUAGAAUAGGAAAUGAUUUUAGUUUGACGGUACCAUACCAGAAAGGGACGGCUAAAUACGUGCCAGCAGCCGCGGUAAUACGUAUGUCCCGAGCGUUAUCCGGAUUUAUUGGGCGUAAAGCGAGCGCAGACGGUUUAUUAAGUCUGAUGUGAAAGCCCGGAGCUCAACUCCGGAAUGGCAUUGGAAACUGGUUAACUUGAGUGCAGUAGAGGUAAGUGGAACUCCAUGUGUAGCGGUGGAAUGCGUAGAUAUAUGGAAGAACACCAGUGGCGAAGGCGGCUUACUGGACUGCAACUGACGUUGAGGCUCGAAAGUGUGGGUAGCAAACAGGAUUAGAUACCCUGGUAGUCCACACCGUAAACGAUGAAGGA
rnacentral:rRNA from 1 species